rnacentral:rRNA from 1 species
GUGCACGCUGGCGGUAGGCCUAACACAUGCCAGUCGAACGGCAGCACAGUAAGCGCUUGCCCUUACGGGUGGCGAGUGGCGGACGGGUGAGGAAUACAUCGGAAUCUACUUUUUCGUGGGGGAUAACGUAGGGAAACUUACGCUAAUACCGCAUACGACCUACGGGUGAAAGCAGGGGAUCUUCGGACCUUGCGCGAUUGAAUGAGCCGAUGUCGGAUUAGCUAGUUGGCGGGGUAAAGGCCCACCAAGGCGACGAUCCGUAGCUGGUCUGAGAGGAUGAUCAGCCACACUGGAACUGAGACACGGUCCAGACUCCUACGGGAGGCAGCAGUGGGGAAUAUUGGACAAUGGGCGCAAGCCUGAUCCAGCCAUACCGCGUGGGUGAAGAAGGCCUUCGGGUUGUAAAGCCCUUUUGUUGGGAAAGAAAAGCAGCAGGUUAAUACCCCGCUGUUCUGACGGUACCCAAAGAAUAAGCACCGGCUAACUUCGUG